AAACUGCGAAUGGCUCAUUAAAUCAGUUAUCGUUUAUUUGAUAGUACCUUACUACUUGGAUAACCGUGGUAAUUCUAGAGCUAAUACAUGCUAAAAACCCCAACUUACGAAGGGGUGUAUUUAUUAGAUAAAAAACCAAUGCCCUUCGGGGCCCCCUGGUGAUUCAUAAUAACUUAACGAAUCGCAUGGCCUUGCGCCGGCGAUGGUUCAUUCAAAUUUCUGCCCUAUCAACUUUCGAUGGUUGUGUAGUGGACAACCAUGGUAUCAACGGGUGACGGGGAAUUAGGGUUCUAUUCCGGAGAGGGAGCCUGAGAAACGGCUACCACAUCCAAGGAAGGCAGCAGGCGCGCAAAUUACCCAAUCCCAAUACGGGGAGGUAGUGACAAUAAAUACUGAUACAGGGCUCUUUUGGGUCUUGUAAUUGGAAUGAGUACAAUUUAAAUCCCUUAACGAGGAACAAUUGGAGGGCAAGUCUGGUGAACAGCCAGCAGCCGCGGUAAUUCCAGCUCCAAUAGCGUAUAUUAAAGUUGUUGCAGUUAAAAAGCUCGUAGUUGAACCUUGGGCCUGGCUGGCCGGUCCGCCUCACCGCGUGUACUGGUCCGGCCGGGCCUUUCCUUCUGGGGAGCCGCAUGCCCUUCACUGGGCGUGUCGGGGAACCAGGACUUUUACUUUGAAAAAAUUAGAGUGUUCAAAGCAGGCCUUUGCUCGGAUACAUUAGCAUGGAAUAAUAGAAUAGGACGUGUGGUUCUAUUUUGUUGGUUUCUAGAACCGCCGUAAUGAUUAAUAGGGAUAGUCGGGGGCAUCAGUAUUCAAUUGUCAGAGGUGAAAUUCUUGGAUUUAUUGAAGACUAACUACUGCGAAAGCAUUUGCCAAGGAUGUUUUCAUUAAUCAGUGAACGAAAGUUAGGGGAUCGAAGACGAU
rnacentral:rRNA from 1 species